GAAGAUCUGCUUCCUUGCCUUCGACAGCUGACGAUUUCUCACUGUCGUCUCGUCGGUCCUUCGACUUGCAUCGUCAAAGAUUCCGAAGCUAAGCGGCUGCACCAAUACGAAACAAGUGAUCCUUGAGGCACAAGCAGAGCCCGAAUGCAGAUGCACCUAAACAGCUUGGAGAAGGGAAAUAAUACAUUACAUCAAGUUGAAACGAGCAUCUUCUGUCCUUACACAUCAUUUGUAUUGCUCGUUGGAUUUAGCCAUGGUUGCAAGCAGUACACAAAACUCAUCUUAGAUCUGGUAAGAACUGCUCUCACCAUCACUGUAUCAUCAUCAUCAUCUUUCAGGUCAGACUCCCUCGCUCGAGUUUCAUUUCCCCUAAUCAGAUCUUCUAUGCAAAUAAUUGCACUAGUACAGCUCGCAGGAUAGUCAUAGGGACAGCAGCUGAUCUUCUUACUUUUCUGCAGAUAUACUGAGGGAACUGUCGUCCAUCUUCCACAUGAACUGCUCCGAUAGACUUCUUCCGGACUUCGAGGUUAGCAUCUUAUGCUUUCGCUUCUGCCUUUCCAUCUCGAUAGCACUGUCAUCCACAGGUUUUGCUAGUAAGUAACCAUUUUUCUGAAACAUACCACCGUAAUAGGCACCUUUCAAUCAGAAACCUAACAUAUUUUCCAUCAGAUUCUUGCAAUCUCAUGCUUUAUCGAUGCAUAUAUUCAUCAGGAACACAUUCUAUGGAACCGAUCUGUUUGUAAAUAUUGUAGAAAGAUGGAAAAUCCAUGUAGUUUUGGAGUAUGAGCCUUUUUUUUCUAGGGCAUGUACUGUAAGCGACCAGUGAAACGAGUGGACAGAGGUGGCAAGAGAAGGGUAUGAAAAGCCUAAAGAUAUUAAUGUGAUACACAAAAUAGACAUUAUGAAAGGUUGGUAGAGGAAGAACAUGAGCACACACUAUUACAAAUCCAUCUCCAAAUAAAAGAUUAUGCUUAGGAUGUGAAGGAGGCUACAGACAUUGAUCGACAGUAUAAUAAUAAUAUAAAAAAUAAAAGAACUAAAUGAUGAAUAUGGAAAAAGAGAGAUAAUAGAAGAUAUUUAAUUAAAAUCGAAUUUUUACAGAGCCGGCCAAACCAAAGUUCAAACAUAUGGACCACAUCUCUAUGAACCCUACAAGUCUCUGGAAGUCAUGUGGGCACACACAGAGCAAUUAAGACAAUUAAGACAACAACGGAUGCUGUAAUCAAAUUCUCUAUCUUUAUUCUAAAAGGAAAAAAAACUUACUCUGAAAUCAAAUGCAAAGGUCACAUUCCAUCUGAUCUCUCAGGAUAUGACCGAAUCCCACUGCCGUAUGCAUUAUUUCCCCGACAGCUAGUAAGUAGUCUUCUUCGUGGUGCUUAGCCACCCAAGAACUCGAGGAAGAAGACGACAAUGGCGAAGAAUAGGAGUAACAAGACGGAGCAAGUGCUUAAGAUUUUGAUUACUGUCAUCAGAGUUCCUGGCUUUGGAGUCCUGAAAGUGAGCAGCUUCACGCUGAAACUGGAUAGAAAUGCGAAGAACAUCACCAACACGCAGAGCUUGAGCUGCAAUUCACUGCCUUUUCUGCCGAUAAAUCCUGAGAAGGCGCCCAUAAGACCUCCGAAGCUGAUGGAUGUCGUGGUAGUAGCGACCUUGGAAAUGAGUUUGAGCUUGAGAUCAUGACCAACGUUGGUAGUAGUGCGCGGUCCGUGCGGCUGUUUCUGGGUGCUGUGCCACUCUAUGCAGAACCAAAGAGUGACUCCAAUAAAUGGCGUCGGCAGGAGAACCAGUACAAGGAAGACGUCAAGGAAAGCAGAAGCCGCCGUGGCGGCUAUGAGUGCCAAUGAGCCCAGCAGAGAGUAGCUGAGUGCUUUGAGGAGCUUGGUAAGGAACUCCCUGGUGCUUUGCUGCUUGAAGCUUGGUGGGACUGAGCUGAGCAGCAUCAACAGAAGGCCGAACAUGGCGGCGAAGAACAUCUGAAAGAUGCAGAUCUUCGUGUUUAUGGUAAGGGCUUGAUCCGAAUGACUUUUAGCGGUCCCAAUAAGAGUAGUUAUCAGCCCACUGAAUGCAAGGGAGACAACAGUGGAUGAGAGACCCAACGAAUGUUUCAGCUCUGAUUUAUAGCUCGCAUAUCCUGUGGAAUUCUGAUCAUGAUCAUCCCCUGCGUGGAAUAUGAAGUAGAGGAGGGUGCCGAGAAGCAAACAUCCCGGAAGCAGGGCUGCCAGAAACAUGGAGCGUUUAUGGAGGAGAGUUGAGAAACCAGCAGCUGUAAGGAUGAGGAGAGCGCAUGAAAGGACGAGGAGGAAAACGGUGGUCACAUGCUGGCCUCUGUGGACACUGUGAUCCUUGCGACUUAGCAAAUUGAUGGUGAUGAACAUUAGGGUUACUCCACAGAGAAGACUGCAGGUGGUGAGGAAGCCGCAGAUAAGAAGGUGCAAUUCGUUUGCAUGGCCUUUCAGAUCUCGCUGUGCUAUGAAAACUGCAAACACUGCCAUUAAGCUGAUGAUUAUAUCAAUGAAGGCGAACUGUAGGAUUUGCUUCAA